CAUGGGCUGCAGAUAUGGCUUGCAGGUCAUGGAGAAGGUUCUCAAGAUGGCUGAAGGCAUCGAUAUCGGGGAAACGAGGUCGUAUGAGUUGGUCCCUAGCAAGAAGCUAAAAAGACACCGCUCUCCAUCUGACAGUCCUGAGCCAGAAGAGACUCCUGAGCCACCCAAAAAGAUGGUCCCCAAGUUCCGGGUGCGACCACGUUUUGAACCCAUACACUUUGUCACCAGUGCUGAGAAGGGUGACAAGAAGGAAGAAUCUCUGGAUAACCAAAUGCAGGAGGUGAACCAGGAGGCACAUACAAACAGCAUCGUGCAGCCAGCUGAAAAUUGUAUGAAUUCUUUUGCGAAUGCACGGGAGGCGGAUGGCCAGCUCUCCAACUGCGCUGGGCUGGGCUUUGCAAGCCAGGCAGCAGCAGCCCAGAAGGCUGUGAAUAGCGUGGACUCCACCACAAGCAGCACGUUGCAGGUUUCUGUUUCUCCUUCAACUGUCCAGUCUGCGUCAGAGACUUUCCCUCCAUCAGCUAUAAUGCUGAAGCAGAGUUUUAUUGAGAAACUGUCAGCAGCUGUCUGGAAAAAUCUUACUAACCCAGAUGCAAACACUGGGACUGAUAAAAUUAACUUUACUUAUCUUUUGACGCGUUCAAUUCAGGCAUGCAAGACAAAUCCUGAAUAUAUUUAUGUUCCUCUGAAGGAAAUUGCCCCUGCUGACCUCCCCAAGAGCAAGAAGCUCCUAACAGAUGGCUUCGCUUGUGAAGUGCGGUGUCAGAAUGUCUACCUGGCCACCGGUUACGCCGGCAGCAAAAACGGAUCCAGGGAUCGUGCUGCGGAGCAGGCAGUCAAGCUGCUGAAGAAGUCUGUGGAGGUUCGAGUGGUGCAGCGGAAGUUCAAGCACACCUAUCACGAAGACUUGGUGGUGUGUGAGGCUGGCGUGAGCCGCCCGGAUUUCCCCCCUGCCCUUAAACCUCACGAGGAGUUUGUAGUUGCCAACAGGGACUGUGUCCCGAUGCAGCCCGGUGCUGAAUCCGUGAAAGGUUCCACUAAUACCAACAAACACUGGACUAGUUUUGUCCUCACAGAGAACGCCAGCGACGCAAUAGGAAUACUUAACAAUUCUGCCUCGUAUAACAAAAUGUCUGUUGAGUAUAAAUAUGAAUUAAUGCCCAACCGCUCGUGGCGCUGUCAAGUGUAUCUCCAAGACCACUGCUUGGCCGAGGGAUUUGGCACCAAGAAGACCAGCAAGCACGCAGCAGCCGAGGAGGCUCUGAAAAUUCUGCAGAAGAUGCAGUCAAAUGUAACAGCCAUCAAGGUGACCCAGGUGCAGAAGGUGGGCUGCUCGUCGCGGGGCUCCGGAAGGAAGAAAGACCUAAAGGACCUCGUGGUUUAUGAGAACUCCAGCAAUCCCGUGUGUACGCUGAACGACACCGCCCAGUUCAACAAGAUGACGGUGGAGUAUGUCUUUGAAAGGAUGACUGGCAUGCGAUGGAAAUGCAAGGUGCUGCUUGAAGACGAAUUCAUCGCAGAAGCAGUUGGAGUGAAAAAAUCUGUCAAGCAUGAGGCAGCAGAGGAAGCUGUGAAAAUCCUCAAAAAGACUCAGCCAACUGUUGUUAAUAACCUGAAGAAAGGCACCGUCGAAGACGUCAUCUCCAGAAAUGAGAUUCGGGGUCGAUCGGCAGAAGAGGCUUUCAAACAGAAGAUCAAAGAAGACAACAUCGGGAACCAAAUUUUAAGAAAGAUGGGCUGGACAGGCGGUGGCCUGGGGAAAGAUGGUGAAGGAAUUAGAGAGCCAAUUUCAGUGAAGGAGCAGUUUAAAAGGGAAGGACUCGGGCUUGAUGUAGAAAGGGUGAACAAAAUCGCUAAAAGAGAUAUUGAGGAGAUCAUUCGAAACUAUGCACGCUCAGACAGUCACAUUGACUUGACUUUCUCUAGAGAACUGAACAUGGACGAGCGGAAGCAGAUACAUCAGAUCGCCCAAAAAUAUGGUCUUAAAAGUAAAUCUCAUGGGCAGGGCCACAACAGAUACCUGGUGGUGAGCAGGAAGCGGCGCAAGGAGGAUCUGUUGGACCAGCUGAAACAAGAGGGUCAGAUUUCUGCCUUGAGUCUCCCAUACUGAGAGUCAGUCGUCAGUGUAUUGGACUGGUAAUUCCAGUGCAUUUUUUGCCUUGACAUGUGCAAAUACCACGGUGAAGUGUGACAUAUAAAAACCGGAGGUAAACGCGGAGCCCACGCAGCAAAGAUGCUCCUGGAGCUUGUGGGGACUGUUAUAUAACUUAUUUUUUUACUUCCAAUAUAAGCUCUUUAAUCCCCAGCAAAAUCAAAUCUGUGCCUAAUUAUUUCUGUGCUCCGUUACUGUACCUGUGCUUGUGUAUGUCGGGGGCGAUGGACAAGUAAAGGUUCUGGUGUUGCUCCCACGUGUGGUGUGAGUGUGGCCUCUCUCGGGGACGCCGGAGCCUCCUGCUUGGGACACGGGUUGGGAAUUGACCUCGGAGGAGCCAAGAGUGAGACGUGCCAAGAGGUGCUGGGUUGUUUCUGUCACCACUGGGGCUGACGAGGAUCCUUGAGUCCAAAGCCAGUCCUGAUGGAGCGGGUUUUGUCCGUUCUCCUCUUGCCUUGUGUCUCAGGAAUCGCUUCUGGUUUGCUGCUGCCUGUAUUUUCCUCUCCAUCUUCUUACAUCAUCCUCUACUUUUUUUCCCCCCACCUACUGUUUCCCCUUUAAAUACUUUCAGGGCUGAGGAGCGGGUGGCUGAUCUCUACUGAUGAAGCAGAAUUUCCCGGCGAUGUGCAGUUAGAGGCGUUUUCGUCCCCUUGGUGUGAAAAGGAAGAGGCUGCCCUGGCAGAGUUGAAAAAAUACUUUCAUAAAAGGGAGGGGAAACUAACUCGAGCAUGCAGCAGGAGCUCACAGGAACCACACGGUAAUUGAUGAAGAGCAGGAACUGCAGAGACUCAAGUGCCUACCCCAUACUUAAUUCACACUUUCUGCAAGGCAAAGUCACAUCCCAAAGAACUUAUCUUCCUCGGCUAAAGAUAAGGGGGCGGGAGAAAGACACCGACCAAGAGUAAUUCCACUGCUGGAACACUUCAGGUUUUACCUCUUCCUGAUGUGGAAGGUCUUUCGCUCAGAGUACCACAGCUCUACCUGGUUUUGUCCAGUAAUGCCUCAGUGACAGGACUAGAGAAACUUAGUGAAGCAGUCCCUGUAGGCAUGUCCUUUAAAAUAAAAUAAUAAUAAAAAAAAAAGGGGGUUUGUUUCUCACCCUAAGCACAGAUCAAAGUACCACAACUGUAGUGAUUUAUGUAUAUCUGUACAUAAAUCUUGCAUGUGAAGUGCAGAAGUAACUAGCAUUCACGGUCUUACUAAAUAUGUGAAUUUGAAUCAAUUUAAGAGUUUUUUGUUUACAUUUUUUUUUUUUCCAUGAGCAAGGAGUCGACAAACUGAUACAAAAGGGAAACAAGAGGUUAUUUCUUCACUCCGUACUUACAAAUGCAGUGGGGUCUAAACCAAUAGUAGAGGUAAAUGACCAGCCUGGACAGAUCAGCACUUUAGUUAAUAUCAGUUAAAAAAUGUGUAUGUAUAUAAACAUCCCUUUUAUCAAGCUACACAUAAGCGUCACUGUGUAUAACACAAUUACAAUUAAAAGCUUAGUGUACACUACA